UACGUAGGGUGCGAGCGUUGUCCGGAAUUAUUGGGCGUAAAGCGCGCGCAGGCGGCGAUCUACGUCUGGGGUGAAAGCCCGGAGCUCAACUCUGGGACUGCCUUGGAUACGGGAUCGCUUGAGAAUUGGAGAGGCAAGGGGAAUUCCACGUUUAGCGGUGAAAUGCGUAGAUAUGUGGAGGAACACCUGUGGCGAAGGCGCCUUGCUGGCCAAUUUCUGACGCUGAGGCGCGAAAGCGUGGGGAGCAAACAGG
rnacentral:rRNA from 1 species